AGAGUUUGAUCCUGGCUCAGAACGAACGCUGGCGGCAGGCCUAACACAUGCAAGUCGAACGCCGUAGCAAUACGGAGUGGCAGACGGGUGAGUAACGCGUGGGAACAUACCCUUCGGUUCGGAAUAACUCAGGGAAACUUGAGCUAAUACCGGAUACGUCCGCAAGGAGAAAGAUUUAUCGCCGAGGGAUUGGCCCGCGUCUGAUUAGCUUGUUGGUGAGGUAAUGGCUCACCAAGGCGACGAUCAGUAGCUGGUCUGAGAGGAUGACCAGCCACAUUGGGACUGAGACACGGCCCAAACUCCUACGGGAGGCAGCAGUGGGGAAUAUUGGACAAUGGGCGAAAGCCUGAUCCAGCCAUGCCGCGUGAGUGAUGAAGGCCUUAGGGUUGUAAAGCUCUUUUACCUGGGAAGAUAAUGACGGUACCAGGAGAAUAAGCCCCGGCUAACUUCGUGCCAGCAGCCGCGGUAAUACGAAGGGGGCUAGCGUUGUUCGGAAUUACUGGGCGUAAAGCGCACGUAGGCGGAUUUUUAAGUCAGGGGUGAAAUCCCGAGGCUCAACCUCGGAACUGCCUUUGAUACUGGGAAUCUUGAGUCCGGGAGAGGUGAGUGGAACUGCGAGUGUAGAGGUGAAAUUCGUAGAUAUUCGCAAGAACACCAGUGGCGAAGGCGGCUCACUGGCCCGGUACUGACGCUGAGGUGCGAAAGCGUGGGGAGCAAACAGGAUUAGAUACCCUGGUAGUCCACGCCGUAAACGAUGGAUGCUAGCCGUUAGGCAGCUUGCUGCUUAGUGGCGCAGUUAACGC
rnacentral:rRNA from 1 species